GUGCUCGCUCUGGCAGCACGUAUACUAAAAUUGAAACGAUACAGAGAAGAUUAGUGUGGCCCCUGUGCAAGGAUGACAUGCAAAUUUGUGAAGCUUUCCAUAUUUUU
ensembl:snRNA U6 U6 spliceosomal RNA